CUUCACUCCCUCCUUCAGGAUGACUCUCUCCAUUUUGCCUUCUAGGAACUGCUCCUGUGGUACCUUCUUACUUGGUCCCAUCCUUGCUGAGGUUGUGUGCUACCUCGAGUUCUGGCUGGACGAAGCCUUGCUAAGGAGAAACCUUCUACUUGAUGUCAACAUGGCUCUGGCCCCGUUUGAUUUUCUCAGUGGGAGAGGCUCCUCUCCUGCAGACAUUAGAUUUGGUGGAGGAGGUUGUCUGAACACUAGUGAUCCCUAAUUCAUGACCCUUGGGAUGUGUGGGGGGCAAGACAUGUGUCCUUUUCCACCCGUGUGCCCCAGCUCUUCUUCGUGACUCACUGAAGAGCUCUCCUAGUCAUGCCUAGUGGGAUGGAAAGAGGCAAAGAGUGCAUCAAAGUGCUCCUUGUCACCUCUCUUCAGGAAUUCCAGAGAGCAACUUAAGUUUGGCUGAUUCUUUACCUGAAAGAGCCACGGUUUCACCAAGGUUUGGUGGUUCACUAUUGAAAAAGAGAGCCUAGGAGAUCCCUACAAAUCUGGACUGGGUGUCCCUCCUACCAUGGAAAAUAAAUGAGGACAACAGCUGACGCUGCUAGAAGAAAUCACUUUUCUGCAGCAGUAUCUACCAUUUCACAUACAUGAGCAGCUCAACCCAAUGAGGGUCAACCCAACUCUACAGACUCCAGGCAAAGGGAAGGCACUCGUCACAACUAAUUACGACUGUGCUGGAGGAGGCAGUCUCCAGUCACUUAGUGUGCUUCUGGAAAGAGUUUCCAUGCCAGGAAGGAUGACCAGCCCUCAGCAUCUGCACAGGGGUCAAGAACAGGGCCAAGAGCUGAAAGCGGUAGAGGAUGUGGUGGCAGCUCAAGGCAGGCACAGAGCUAACAGAAACACUGAUCGACAUGAGGAAUGCUUCCAUAGAAAUGCCUCCCCAGCUUCCAUCACCUGCCCAUCUUUGGAGCAUCCUCCCUGCUUUGAGGAAAGAAGAGAACUCAUCCCAGACCCGGAGCUGCAGAAAGAUGGUACCAGCCUUGCACAUUCAGCAGCUGUUUUUCCUGAGGCUGGAAGGCAGCUAUCAGUCAAAAUUAACACUGCAUGAAUGCCUGCAGUAAAGGUUUUUCACUGCUGAACAAUAACAGGAUGGAAAAGGAGAAGGGAAGCAGCGUAGAUGGAGAGAACAGGCUCAUGCAGGGGACAAGGAUGAAGGGGGAUUUCCACCUCUCAGUGGAGUUUGAGAACAUCUGCAUUUCAACUCCUGCUCUGCCAUAGAUUUAUUGUAUUAGAAAGGAUCAGGGUGUUACAGACAGACCAAGGUCUCGUAGAUUCUCCUCCAGAACAUGAGACUCAUACACUGGCUGAUGUAAGCAGCUACAAAUGGGUCCAGAAACAGCCACACUGGGAGCUGCAAUUUUAAUUUCCAUGGUAGUUCUGAUGCUGUCCCCUCUUUGCUGGGGUCACAUUGUCAGGAACUGAUUGACUCUGUAUACAGGACAAGAGGUAAUGGACUUAAGUUGCUCCAGGGGAGGUUCAGAUUGGAUAUUAGGAAACAUUUCUUCUCAAAAAGGCAGUCAAGCACUGUUACAGGCUGCACGGGGAAGUGGUGGGGUCACUGUCCCUGGAGGUGUUCCAGAACCAUGGAGAUGUGGCUCUGAGGGAUGUGGUCAGUGGGCAUGGUGGGAUGGGUUGGGGUUGGACUUGGCGAUCUUAGAGCUCUUUUCCAACAUCAGUGAUUCCGUGAUUCUAUGAUUCAUUGAGUGGUCCUAGACAAAGCAAGCAGGGUCCCGUGGGGAGGUGGUGACAUGUGAGAAGAAUUGCCUGGUUUCACUCCAGUUCCCUGCAGAAAUGUUCCUCACCUCUUUGCCAUCACCAAAAUAAUGGUGUAACGAGCAUGCUUAGCUCCCAAAGUGCCACAAAAUCUGUGCAAACCCAAGCAAUGGCUGCAACCAUGGUGUUCUGCAGGGACAGACAUCUCUGAUGCCUUGGUCUGCCCAGAAAAUCCGAAUAACAAAAUUUCUCUGUGUUCCAUUCUUCAGACUAAUGCCUGAGUCUGAAUCCUUUUCUUUCUUUCUUUCUUUCUUUCGUUCUUGUUUUCCUUUUUAAUCUGGUGAUAUUUUUUUCCCUCUGAACACAGUUCCCCCCUUCACUUCACAGCAUUUCAAAGCUCUUUCCUCUCCCUGGACGGAGCCUUAGCAAACAAUAUCGAUGAUCUAAGUUUCUCUCCAAAAUGAAAGAAGGAAUAUGCUCCCUGGUGCUCUUGUGUAUGGUGUGAACACGAUCCCCGCAGAGAAGAGUUUGCAAAUGAAAUGUGACAAGUACUUCUCAUGAUUGCAUCUCUUCCCUAAUCACUUUUGGCUGCAUGAGGAGCAGCCACCCUUCUCCUUCUUGUAAAUUCUGUUAGGACAGACAUGGCCCCACUGUCAGAGAAUCUAGUGGGGGUCAGCCUCUUCUUCCAGGUAACUAGUGAUAGGACAAGAGGGAAUGGCCCCAAGUUGCUCCAGGGGAGGUUCAGGUUGUAUAUUAGGUAGAGUUUCUUCUCUGAAAGAGUGGUCAGGUUGCCCAGGCUGCCCAGGGAGGUGGUGGGGUCACCGUCUCUGAAGGUGUUUAAGGAAAGAUUAGAUGUAGUACUUAGGGACUUGGUUUACUGGGCAAUAUUGGAAGUUGAUGGAUAGCUGGACUAGAAUCACAGAGUCAUAGAAUCAUAAAGGCUGGAAAAGAUCUCUCAGAUCCCCAACCCCAAUCCACCCCCACCAUGCCCACUGACCAUGUCUCUCAGUGCCACAUCUCCACGGUUCUGAACAUCUCCAGGGACACUGACCCCAUCACUCCCUGGGCAGCCUGUGCCACUGCCUGACCACUCCUUAUGAGAACAAAUGUUUCCUAAUAUUCAACCUGACCAACUCUUGGUGCAACCUGAGGAAACUUCAGUCCUCCCCUUUUCCAGAGCUGGAGGAGGUUAGAAGUAUCUGGAGGACUGAGGUGAAGUUUUGGGAAAAUCACAUUUUCCCUGGCAAAAUCUGAACCUGGUGGUGCUCAUUUUGUUGGCCCCUGCGCAGGAAACACUGUCCAGAAAGGUGAGACAUUGCUGGGAGUUGGCUUCCAUCACCCCCAUACAUCCCAUCUCUUCCCAUAGGGCUCUUGUGCAUGCUGUGAUAAGCACAUGUCAAAUUCGAUAACAGGGAUUUGGAUGAGCAAAAUACGUGGCUCAGAGGAUGCUUUCCCCUCUCACCAUGAGACUGGAUGUGUGUACAUUGCCAGACAGCAGAGACUUUGCUUUUUCUAUGGAUGGAGGCACUUUGGGACACAUGAAGGGUUGAAUCCACAGACACAGACCAUUGAGCACUCCCCAGAGGAGCCCCGUAGAUGAAUCUGCCUCCAUAUGAAUAUGAUUCUAUGAUGAAUAUGAUUCUAUGAUUCUAUGAAGCAGCACUGCUUCAGUCAAAAUGAAAAGGAAACACACACACACACACAAAACAAAUCAGCAGUCAGUUUUCAAGCUGGAAAUCCAUGCAUUUUCCUAAGAAAGGCUUGUACUCCUCUUAAUUCUUCCUAAUACUAUUUGCACUCCUUCCUAUGCUGUGGGAAAUAAGCUGUUCCAUUUUAAUUGGGAGAACUGCAACAAUAGCUUGUUUAAAUGCAUUUUGGGUCCACCCAGAGCAAAAUCCAAAGAAUAUAACCAGAUUAAAAAACGCGGUAUUACCACUGCCCCUCCCUCCAAAACAGAGAAAAAAUGAUUUCAGGAUGCACUAUGAUAAGAUAUUACUUUUUCAACUCUCAAAGGAAAGGUUUCAUUUUGUUAUGUCCCCACCUCAUCUCACUUGUAGAGUAAUCACUGCAUUUUGCUAAAUUUUUAAAAUGGGCAGCACUGGAAAAUCAAAAAUCAAAACAUUCCCUCUGACAAAGUUAUUAAAAUUGAAACGCUGUGACUCUGCUGCAGCAGAUUAAUUCUAAAAAGCAACCCAAAAAGAGGAAAAAAAAUUCCUAUAAGUGGCUUUUGACCAAAUGACUGGAAAAUGAGUUCACUGAGAGUUUCACUCAAGCCAAAUCUGCAUUUUGCGGCAUAAUAAACUAUUUGACCAAACAUCA
ensembl:lncRNA